rnacentral:rRNA from 2 species
GGAUGCGAUCAUAGCAGCACUAAAGCACCGGAUCCCAUCAGAACUCCGAAGAUAAGCGUGCUUGGGUGAGAGUAGUACUAGGAUGGGUGACCUCGUGUUGCAUUCC